GCUAAAUUGGCUGAGUUCGUAGAGCGCUCCAAUGGAAAUGGAGAGGUCCCGGUUUCGAUACCAGGACUAGGCG
rnacentral:tRNA from 1 species